rnacentral:tRNA from 1 species
GCCUGGGUGGCUCAGUUGGUUAAGCACCUGACUUGAUUUUAGCGUUCAAGUCAUGAUCUCAUGGUUCUGUGGGUUCAAGUCCCAUGUCAGGCU